GAGCGCGCACGCCGGUGUGUGCGCAAAAAGACCGGCUGGAGCCGGUAUAAAACAGCAGGAAGAUGAACAAGUAAUUUUAGAGGGGGCAGGAGACGAUCAAAAUCUGGGGAGAGACGGGGGUAAGGAGGAAAGGCGAGAGCUAGGAGCACAGGGUCGGAGGGAGCCGAGGGACAGAGUGAGAUCCAGGUUAGACAGGGACUGACCACUGGGACUCCCCUGCAUUCACCAGCCCUUCCAAAAUUCAACUAAGAGGAGCAAUAUUAAAAUAGUUCAUCUAGUUAGGGUCGUAACCAAAUGUAUCCAACCAAAUAUCAGCAAACUCGGUACGUUUUGCCUGGCUGGGGGUACUUUAAAGCCCCAAAAGUCGGGUCGACAACUUGAAGUUAAAUUUGAGUCGCAUUACAGGGAUCUCCAACAGAUUUUGGGAAGAAUUGCAGUAUUCAGCUGCAAACACAUUGUAGAAAUGAACACGUUCAUGGAAAACACAAGGGGAUGCACAAUCAAUGUUUACACAAAAACUCCAGAUGGAGGUUGGGGCUGGAUCAUAGCCAUCGCAUUUUUCUUCAUAGAAGUACUCACAUAUGGCAUAAUGAAGUCAUUAGGUGUUUUCUUUUACGACCUAAUGGCUUAUUUCGAUGUGUCCAACAGCAGAGUGUCCUGGAUAUUAUCUAUCUCUGCAUUUGUAAUGAUGUUUACAGCACCACUUUCCACAAUACUAAGUAACCACUUUGGUUGCCGCCCAGUAGUAAUGCUGGGUGGACUGCUCGUUAGUAUGGGAAUGAUGGCGGCAUCAUUUGCACGAUCAAUUGUAGAAAUGUACAUUGCCAUUGGAGUAGUCUCAGGAGUAGGUUUCUGCCUCAGUUUCCUUCCUACAGUCACAAUCCUCUCCCAGUACUUCGAUAAAUAUCGUUCUCUUGUUAUGGCUGUAGCAUCCACAGGAGAAUGUUUUGCUAUCUUCACUUUUGCACCCGCUUUUACAUUACUGAAGAACCAUCUUGGGUGGAAAAAUUGUCUCCUCAUCAUAGGUGCACUGCAGCUAAACAUUGUUGUAUGUGGAGCACUACUUCGGCCAAUUGUUAUCAGGAAAAUUGAGAAAAAAAAAAUGACUUUGGCCAUGGAGACCAAGUAUAUGCUGGAGAAUGAAGAAACAUGUAUGUCUAUAGAAUCUGUGGACUCGGGAGUGGAAUCUUUAUCUACCUCAUGUGAUAACUUGGACCAUAGUAAAAAGUGUACAACAAAUGAAACUCUCAAAGAAAAUCUUCAAAUGCUUCCAGAUGGGAAGCUAAAAUCAGAGAAUCAGCCAAAGUUGCUUGACUUUUUAAUUCUAAAAAACAAAAGCUUCAUAUUUUACGCACUUUUUGGUCUAUUUGCUAGUUUGGGAUUCUUUGCACCUCACCUCUACGUGAUUCCCCUUAGCAUUAGCUUAGGUAUUGAUGACUGGGCAGCAUAUAUGUUGUCUGCUAUGGCAGUUACAGAGGUGUUUGGUAGGUUCUCAGUUGGCUGUGUCCUAAAUAAGCAGCCCAUACGUAAGAUUUACAUUCAACUGAUAUGUGUAAGCCUACUGAGUAUUACGUUGCUGUGCUUUCCUUUUGCGAAAUGCUUAUGGAGCCUUGUUACAUGCAGCAUGCUGUAUGGAUUCAUGUUUGGCACUGUGGCUAGUACUCACAUCCCAAUGUUGGCAGAAGAUGAUGUCGUGGGAGUUGAGAAGAUGCCAUCUGCUAUUGGAAUCUACAUCUUUAUUCAGAGCUUUUCAGGACUUGCUGGCCCACCUAUUGGAGGUUGGCUUGUUGAUGUUACAGGCCAGAAUUAUGGAUCUGCAUUCUUCUUUUGUGGAAUUGGCUUGAGUUUAGGUGCUUUUUUUCUAGCAUUAGUUCGGCCAUCUAAAAAAGGGUUUUGUCUGAGAAAACAACCUCCAGAGGUCGAUCAGCAGCAGACAACACAGGAAACUCUCAGAAAUGCAGUAGAUGUGCCCGAAGACUUCCUAGAUACAGACCUGAAGAAACCAGAAAGCUUACAGGAUGACCUUCAAAACAUUGCCUGAAUAAACAGUCACACACCACCGAGUGUACCUUGCCUUUCAAAGGUAUUCUGAUUUAUCCUGUCAGUUUCCUCUACUUGGCCACAUAUUUAAUCUCCAACUUUCCCUAUUCUCAAUGGCAAAAUUGCCUACUCACUUUGUCAAGGAAUACUGCAAGAAACAAAUAUUUCACAUUUACUAUUUAAUGAAACAUACAGCUACAGCUGAACUGAACUAAAGAUGCCCAGAAAAUGAAAAAACUGAAAGCAGGAAUAUAUUUAUGUUUUCUUCUCAAGACUACAAGAUGGACCAAAAUGAAAUAUUUUAAAUGGAGCAUUUCAUUUUACCUUUGGAGUGGGGGGAUAUGUUGGAGGGAAGACGGAGGAAAUGCACAACUCUGGGGUAAUCAUUAAUGGAAAAAAACUGCAAAUUGUGGACAAUUAAUUUAUCAUCUAUGCGAUGCAUGGUGAUCAAAACUUGAAAGCCAUUAUGGAGCUAAUAUGCAGAUGGGGUAAAGUUCAAUUUUACCACCCUAUAGUAUGCAAAACACAUACAAGUUUCUGAGUUUUAAAGAGAUUUAAAAUUACUACACAGAAGUCAAAAUGCUUGUUGUAGACUUCUCAUUCUUCAAAUAGUUUCUUCUACACUCUAAACAACUCUUUUGGCUCCUAAUUUUUCUAAAGCCAGUAUUACAUCAAAAACUUGAAUAUUGUAACCAUAUCUAGGACACUCUUUGAUCACUCCUUAUUCACUCCUGGAUUGGAUACAAGAAGAGUCCUUGAUAUGUAAAAACUUAUGGUUCGCAAACUUUCUCUGACCAAUCCAACUUUACUUUCGUUGAUUAUCAAUUCCAUGUGCUUCUCUUAGGACUUAAAAUACAUUUAAAAACUUAAAUAUUGAAUUCUGCAAGCUCUUCACCUUCCUUCCAUCCCCACCCAAAAAAAAGUUUUGUUAUCCUUUGCUGCAUUACAUAUAGGGCCUAUGUUAUUGUCAGUAAGUUACUGUUUACAGUGCUAAUGAUUGCACAUUUUUGAUAUUUCAGAAAAUGAGUACAUGGUGAACAAAAUUGUACCUACACUGGAAAUACUUAUGCAGAGAAUAAGAGGCUCCCUCGUAUUCACUUAAUCAUCGCGUAUAUAAUGUUAGGAUUCAAAAUGCAGUAGAUUUGAGACCUUUGUGGUAUUAAGAACGAACUGCUACCUAAAAGCAAAAUAAUGCAAAUUCUGACUUUUCUUGCCAUUCAUCAUACAUAGUACCCUGUGUCUGUGUGUGUAGAUAAAAAAGCCAAUGAAUUAAAUUUGAAUUACUGUAUUUUUUUUUAAAACAGUUUCCGAUUUAGGUUAUUCAGUCAAAUUAUAAAUGAGUGAUACACAUCAGCGCUAAACAAUCACAAAGUCAUAUUUUCCCUCAUCUAAAAUUAGUGGGAGUGCUUUAAAUAUUUGGCACUAGUUGGAAGAAUUCUUUCUCACAUCUGUGUGCUAUAAUAUUGAGAUUGUGGCAUUAUAAGCAAAUGUGGAAAAGGAAUCAGGCAAAAUUCUACGGAUGUAAUUUGAAUAUUGGUAAACCAAAAGAUUAAGAUCCUUUACAAAUGUCCAUCUCUGAGAUGAUUAACUCUGUGCAGCUGCAAAUAUGUAUACACACUAACGAUAUUAAGCAAAUCCCAUUUACACAGUUGCAGGGGGAUCUUGACUGUCCAGCCAGGGCAGGGUGACAUUACUUCCAGCAAUAGGAAACUUUAUGGGGACCACAAAAGAUACAGAUAGCGUAUAACAUGUUUGAUCAGGAAGCAUCAAUAACUACAGUGGACAACUGUCUUUUUCAUCUUUAAUACUAAAUGCACAGUUAAAUUCUUUGAUGUGAACACUUUCCAAAUAACUAAACUGCAAAAUAAGUAUCAUGCAUAAAACGUGUUACAUUACAAAAUGGGGUUGAAAACAAAAACAUAAUCACUGAUUUCUAUUCUGGCAUGAAGACCUCAUUCUAGGGACUCCCUUUUUACCUGGUCAUAAUGUGAUUUCUUUAUUGGGCUUGCCCCAUGCACCCAGAGAGUGCUCCACAAAAGUAAUGGGGCUUUGAUUUUGAACUUUCCCUAAGAGCUGUUCUAGACAUGAAACUCAAGACCACUGGGGUAAAGUCUGUUCCAGAAUACAUCAAAAUAUUCCCUGUAAAUGAUGACACACUAGCAGAGACAAGAAAUCACUCAAAGGUUUUUGCAUCAAUAACUAUUAAAAUUACAUAAUUUAAGUUCUAGCUAUAUACUGGGUAAAAUAAUGGAUUCAGAAUAUCUUUAUCUUAGAUUCAAUUAAACAAAUUUGAAUGAUUAAAUCUUAAUUCGUUUAUUCCAUCAAUGACAUCUGCACUAGUUGAAAAAUUUAUGACAAAGGCUUUUCUAUUUUACUGGCAGAAAAGAAAAACAUUGCAUGUCAAAAUCAAAGACCUGUUUAAAUUCCCAAAAAUUGGCAAUCACUGCCAAAUUAGUGAUUGCAGAACUCUGUUUAAACAUUGAAAGGUUCAUCACUCAAGAAAGAAAAAUCAAUGUAUGGUAUAGUCUUAAUUGUUCUGACACCUCUUGCACUCCAAUUUUGAUACUGCGUGUUUGUAAUCUGAAUUGUAUAUUUACUGUACAAGAUAUUUCAUAUAGCGUAUCAAAAGUAUUCAGGUGAUAUAAUGUUAAGCUUGAAUGAUUUGUGAUGCAAGUUAUUAGGAUUAAACAAAUACUGGUAACUAGCAAUCUGAAGGAUGUAACUAGGUUAUCUAAAGGAACAACUGAAUGAAACUGCAACUAACAUUUUUAAAAUCAUGAUAAAUUGAGGCAAUCUAGUUUAAGAAAUACCAGCAAAUUAGGUUCAAACAAAAUGUUGCCAAAACUUUGGUCACUGUAACUUAUGCUCUCUAACAUUCAAUUUGUUCAGCCCCAAUAACUUAAAAGUAGUUUAAAUGUUUUAAGAU